rnacentral:lncRNA from 1 species
GCCCUAGUCAAAGGAGGACCUUGCAGAUAAUACUUAUACAAUUUAGAUAUUUCUCUAAAGCAAUCAAAUUCCAAAACGGGAAAAAAUAUGAUUUUCAGGACUUUAGAUUUACCUGGAUCCUCACUUCAUACAUUGCUAAUUCCUCCACCUAUAGCCAAUAAUAGACAGGACCAUGGAGAGAUAAGCCUGAGUAGUGGUUACUUUCAAGGCAGCAAUGUACUUCUUUAAAUUGUGAAAUAGUCUUUUAUGGAAUUUAUAGGUAAAUGACUUAUGGAUAUCUCAGGGAUGCUAACUAGAAGACUACUCAUAAAAGACGGAUCUAACCCACUCCUGGGUCCAAACAGCGAGGCUGCACCCACCUCUCACUUAAAGCAGCUGAAGAGCCUAUUCAAUACGCUGGACUGUGCUUGCAGCAUUGCUUUUAGGCUCUGACUCAACGAAACAAGAAUUAUUUACCUGAUCCAUUUUUAGUGACUUGUGCGAUCUCAUCCUCAUCCUCGUCACAGCUCUCGCCAUUGAGCUGAGGGAGGGCUGUAUCGGACUGGCUUUCGGCUGGACCACCGUCACCCUGCUUAGCGAGGCUUCGAAGCGCGACCAGACGGUGGUGGAUUGCUGCAUACAGAAAGCCUGUAUCUUUGGCACUAGCCUUCAAGAGAAAAGUUAAGUUGUUAAGACUGUAAGUAGUGAAUGAGUACAGCCGUGCUUACAUCCUUUUGAUCUCUCGCUGUUUAUAAAGGAAGAGAUUCCGUUACAUACAUCUGGAAGGUAAAUAAAUACCAACAGCCCAACGUGUUUAGAAAAUGAUGCCAAUUCACUUUGCACCAAAUUGUAUCUCAACGUGAGUAAAGUAAUGGGCUCUCAACCCAUACAUUUUAAAUGGAGAAAACAGAGUUUUGGCAUUCAGGAAUCCUGUUUGAAUUUACAUCUUCAAGCUAGUCCUUCCUCUGCUGCCUUAUGCUGUAGACCACUGUAAGUUUAAGGGCUCUGUCCAUCACUUUACCUACCCACCCUCCAACCCACAUAGCUUUGUGGAGAAGCGAAGUUCCAGCCAACGGGUCACACUUUCAGACAUCAGACUUCUCAAAACCUCCCCAAGCUCAUUUUUGGUUGCCAUUAAUAUAAAAUGAUAGCAGCGUCAUUUACUAUUGGCAGAGCCAUAGCCGUUGUGUCUUUAGUCCAUUCAGAUUAGCAAAACAAGAAGUACCAAGAUAUUCGUCCCUCUUCCCUUUACAAAUGAAAAACUUGUGACUGAAAAGAAUAAAAGGGCACGCCUAAGUUACAGCAUGGAAGCCCUCACUUACAGUAAGAAAGAUUAAUAUUUUGUAAUCAUGUUAGCUGUUUGAUCUCAGCAGCUUUAUAAAGUAUACUGUUACUGCCUCCACUUUCCCUGUGAGUUAGUUUAAUGAAUGCUAAACAACUUGUCUGGAGGUCAGGCAGUUAAUACAAUGUAGAUAUGUAUGUAUUUGGUUUUUUUCCUGGUUUUAUAAUAAACAUUUUACACAUACAUAGUGAAAUUAUUUUGUGGGUGGGGCCCAAGGCUAACCAGAGAAUGCAUUUAUGGCUCAUACACACCUUGCAUACACUACCUGUAGGAAAUUUUCUGCAAUAUUUUAGUGUGCCUUGUUUGUUGACUGGAACCCACCACACAAGGUCAGAUGUGGAAAUCUCCAUGUUGAGCUUCAUAACAUGCUGGAGUUGGGAGCAUUUUGGAUCCCAAUGUUUUAAAUCAAGGAUGCUUAGCCUUUUGGUACAAUGUUACAAUAUUGAUGGUGAUCACAAUAAAUUAUUUUCAUUGUG